rnacentral:lncRNA from 1 species
AGUAAAUAUGUGUGCAACUACAUCUGUGACAGAAGGUGUUCUUUAACGUCUUUAAAGCAGAACGUCAUGCACUGAGUGGACCAAUGUAUGUGGUUUGGAGUCUAGCCUUGAUACCACACUGACAAUUUUCCCCAUCGUGUUUGAAGGCUACUGCCCACUCGUGGAUAUUUUUAAAAACAGCAUCCGGAACUGAAGCAAAGAACGCUGGUUAUUCAGUAAUCUUGCGCUGGCAUUAAUGCAGAAGUAACAUUCCCGUCCAUCUGAAUGCCAGAGCUGAUCGACGCUGAUUAUAAAUAUCUUUAGCCUUCACACAUCGGUAUAGAUCGUAGAUUGUUCAGAUGAACUAGGACACUUAGAUAUGUACGAACUGGCUGCAGCGCGGUCUAGAGGCCAAGAAGACGCCAAACUGUUAUGCAAGCUUUAACCUUGGGUUUUAACCAAGACGGCAUUUGCAGUUCGUGGAAAACCGUGAUUGGAUAAGCAGUAGCCAGGCUGCCUUUUACUUCAGUAAAGUUGUUACAAACCUGGCAUCUGAAACCCCACGAAACACGACGGAUUAAUGUAAUCAAGCGGUAGUCGUUACCUAACUCCAUGUUCGCGAGCUAAAUAUACACCGGUAAACUUACUGCUUUUCAAUUCUCACAAUUAUUCACAAGAGUUUACAGAUUACCUGCUCCGAAACGCUGUGGUGACCCUCGCUUCAUCGGAACACGAAGACUUACAUUUGGAUUUUGCUUGUGACCGAGCCCAUCUCUAGGAAAAGUGCCCUGCGGAUGACGAUGACGGUUAUUGCUGCAGUCUAUAUAAACCUGCAGAGAGUGAUUCUCACCACAGUCAUCACUGCCCCAGUGCCAUGUUCUUCUUUAACGCGAUACUCCUGAGUAGGAAUUGAACUCCUAUUAUAUAAGAAUGGAACGCAGCAUACACCGCUGGAGCGACAUAGAGGAAAACUGUAGCGUCGUGAGUGACUUCAAGGGUGUUGGUAACACCCCGGGGGGACCCCAGGCCCACUUCUAUAGCUUCAUCAUGCACGUGUGCGUCACAGGAUUUCUGUGCGUCUUCGGGCUCGUAGGCAACUUUCUGUCGCUCAUCGUUUUCUUCAAGUACAAAGCCCGGUCCUUGACAUUCUACCUCUUGCGUCCACUAGCCA